rfam:Physcomitrella patens subsp. patens PHYPAscaffold_58 genomic scaffold, whole genome shotgun sequence.
UGGAUCAUAAAUUUGCUCAAUGCUCUCUGGAGCUUCUGUGUUACCACGUUGGAGAGAGUGUUGAUUUGGACUCCCUGAUAGGGCUUAGGCAUCUUUCAGCCCUUGCUUCGGGUUUUCGUCCUUAUUGGCCUCCCUCAUUGGGCCUCAGAAGCUUCACAGAACAUUGACUUGAUUUGUGACCCU